CCCUUAGAUGUUCUGGGCUGCACGCGCGCUACACUGAAGCGUUCAACGAGUAUUCACCUUGCCCGGGAGGGUUGGGUAAUCUUUUGAAAACGCUUCGUGAUGGGGAUAGAUUAUUGCAAUUAUUAAUCUUCAACGAGGAAUGCCUAGUAAGCGCAAGUCAUCAGCUUGCGUUGAUUACGUCCCUGCCCUUUGUACACACCGCCCGUCGCUCCUACCGAUUGAAUGGUCCGGUGAAGCGUUUGGACUAUGGUUUUCUGAUGGUCCGCCGUUGGAUUACCGUGGGAAGUUCGUUAAACCUUAUCAUUUAGAGGAAGGAGAAGUCGUAACA
rnacentral:rRNA from 1 species